rnacentral:rRNA from 1 species
AUACGAAAGGGGCUAGCGUUGUUCGGAAUUACUGGGCGUAAAGCGCACGUAGGCGGUACUGUAAGUUGGGGGUGAAAUCCCGGAGCUCAACUCCGGAACUGCCUCCAAAACUACAGAGCUUGAGGAUGUGAGAGGAGAGUGGAAUUCCCAGUGUAGAGGUGAAAUUCGUAGAUCUUGGGAAGAACACCGGCGGCGAAGGCGGCUCUCUGGUCCGGUUCUGACGCUGAGGCGCGAAAGCGUGGGGAGCAAACAGGAUUAGAAACCCCGGUAGUCC